CAGACUAUAGCAUAUAUAGUAAUGCCUUUUACUUACGAUAAAAAGAAAAUGA
rnacentral:tRNA from 1 species